rnacentral:lncRNA from 1 species
GGUAAUAUUAUAAAUUUAAAUCCUAUCUUAUAGAACCACUGAUUUGAAGAGAACCACACUCUUCGACUCUUUUCAUUAAUAUAACAAAAGUGGGAUUACAAAGCUACAAGCAAGAGAGGGGGAAAUAAACAUGUAUAUAGGUUGAUAAAGGGAACAAGCUCCCUAUUCAAACCAAAUAUACUUAUUAAGGAACUAUUCAUAACUCACCUUACAACACAAUUUAUUUAAUUAAGAUGACCCAACUCUAGAAAAAAAAAAAGAUGACAAACAUACUAAUUUUCCGGAGGAAGGAACGCGAAGUGUUUGAGUGCCAUACGAACCCCAUUCUCCGUCAAUUCUUUCUUCUUCUCGUCGGAAGUGUCAGGCAUAUGGAUUGUUGGUAAGAGAUUAGCAACAUAAUCCUUAAUCUCACUUUCUGUUGCGACACCUUGGAAGGCAGUCCUCUCGAGGAUGUGUUUUUUUGGCAGAGUUGUAGCCUUUGUAAUAAGCAUGAAGAGGAUGAUCCUCCUUGGGAUCGUAAGCAUCAAGACUGUCAACAUGGGCAGCCUCCAGCUCGGUUGUUCCCGCUGCUGCAACUGGCGGAGCACGAGAAGAUGACGAUUUACUUCCACUCGAAAAAAGGCGUCGGAGACUCAUUGUUUCUCUAUUUCUAUUUGUGUUUUUUGUUGUUGUGUCUAUUGUGAUGAAAAAUAUAGAUAAUGGCAUAGAGGAACUAUACUAUAUAUAGUGCCAUGCACAUUUUUUCUUUAUUUUUCAAUUCCAAAAAAAU